AGGGGGUGCUGAGGGGUGCAGGGAGGUGCCCAGAGGAGUGCAGUGCCCUCCAAGGCACGAGACCAGUGCAGGAUCCACACACUGGGAUUGGGGUGCGGGACACAGCUGGUGGCACUCCAGCCAUGCUCCUCGGCACAAAGCAUCAUCCCCUUCCAUCCAGCACUUUCCAGACUGCCCAAACAAAGCUGGGCAGCAGGAGCUCGACGUGAGCUGAAGUACCAGAGGGACCAUCACUCCCCAACAGCGGCUGGAGAAUCCAUUGAUGCUGGCACCCUGAUCCUGAUUCCCUGAAGCCUGACUCAUGGAGUGCUGCAGGUUCGAUGUGAGUCCUGGAGGAUUUUGCAUCUGGGAUGAUAAAUCCGGAUGGAGUUGCCUCUUGUAGCUGCCCAUGGCUCUUCCACAUCUUAAUAAAACUGCUGAUAGUAGGGGAGAAAAAGGAUGUGAAAUAAAGAUUAUCAAAAAGUCAAUA